GAUGAACGCUAGCGGCAGGCCUAAUACAUGCAAGCCGAACGGCAAGAUUUUCAGCAAUGGAAAGCCUAGAGUGGCGUAAGGGUGCGUAACACGUAUGCAAUCUGCCCUCAACAGGAGGAUAGCUACCCCGAAAGGGGAAUUAAGACUCCAUAAGAUCUUAGAGUGGCAUCACUUAGAGAUUAAACUACCGAGGGGUUGAGGAUGAGCAUGCGNAUGAUUAGUUAGUUGGCGGGGUAACGGCCCACCAAGACGAUGAUCAUUA
rnacentral:rRNA from 1 species